rnacentral:lncRNA from 1 species
CAAAUGUAGUUUUCGCAUACUGCACGUGUCUUCCAUCUUUGCGCCGGGCUAUAGACACCUCUUUGUGCUUCGUCAUUGAUUACGUUGCUUACCCAAUCCUGGACAAGCAAAUUGAAAACUCCUUGAAGUUUGCAGGCCCGACUUCGAGUGAUUGGGCCUACGGGCAAUUGGGCCAUCUUCCCCAUUGGAACUAAUUUGUAGACUUUAGCAUCCUGCGCUACCUCUUCCUUUAUCGGGAUAUCCUUCGUGAUGGCUAAUGCAUCAAACAUGCUUUAGAAUUAACCCACCAAUCUUAACUCAGAUUUCGUUAUCAAAAUUGAUAUCUAGAUAAGUUUAGGGGGAU